CCUGUUUCACAAGAACGACGUGUCGGAUUUGCCAUAGUUGCUCUGAAAAAUAUACAAACCACCUAAGCAUGCCAGCCCUUUUGUUACCAAAUAUGUAAAUUUUUAUAUAAUUGCUAACUUCAGAAGACCCUGCAUCUUUUACUGGCCUGAAACUUUUUGAGGUAAUUUUUUGUUUGAAUGACCAAGGAGGGCAUGUUUGUGUAAAGGAAAGUACCUGAAAACUGUCAGUUCGCUUAAUCUCAAGUAGACCUUCCUUCUGUCAUUUUGUCAGCUAGUUCACUUUUCAUAAAUCUCCCUCCGAUUCAGUCGCUGACGAAUGAUUUUGUAAACGAAACUAACUUUACAGAUUGCAUGCUUGUAAAAAAUAAUACACCAUAAUGUUAUUCUGUUCAUUAGUGUUCACAUCGCAAGAAAACAUAACUGGACAUAUACUAAAAAUAAAGAAAGGUUCCUGCAACUCAUAAUAUGACUAAUUUGUAUGGAAUGGAACUGAACCACUUUGAAUAAAAAAACAUUCGCAGGCAAGACCAGGAGAUCGGAAUCUAGCUGCAGCAGAACUUGAGACACGGUGUUACUCUUGUUCUUGAGGCAUAUGGUGCAUCAGUACAUCUUAUGUGGCUAGUGCACCAUUUGUGGCCACAAUUUACUUUUGUGCAAGGGCUGCCAUUAUGUUGCAAGGUAAGUAACAGGAAAUAAGUUUUGCUAUCUAACUCAGGCAUUUUUUGGGUUCAAAGAAUGUAUACUACCUCCGUUGCAAAGACAUGUGGAUGUGAUCAACUCGUUGCAACUCUUUAAGUCAAUUGUUUCCUUCUGGUCUUUGAUUCAGAAGUUGUCGUAUCAGACUAUGUUUCCGCUGUAAACAACACAAACAGAAAUUUCAGUUAUGCUAUGUGCAUUGCAACGGGAGUUUAAAAAAAAUCAACUACCACCCCCUCCCCAACCCACCCUCGAAGUUCAAAAUCUAAACGUUUGAUUCAUCUGUAUGCCCAUACAUGUCAAUCGGAACUUUAUAUUAUUAAAGCAACUUUAAAUUCUAAGAUUUGCAAGCUUGAAUAUUUUUACAUGUCUAGUUUUCAGAAACAAAAGAUUGAUGUUUGCCUGCAAUUAUAUCGAGUUUUCAGCUUUAAACUUCAUUGUCAGUCUACUUGUAAAUUUCCAGUAAGCCCAUGUGCCAGCAAAACUUCAGCCACUUCACAAUGCCCAGUGUUUUUAAUGGCCAGCCUCAAAUGAUAGAAGUACUUUAGCAUAUAUGUGUAUAUUCAGACCAAGAACCCUUGCCAAUUCCAACAAUAAAUACAUGAAAAGUACAUGUGAUUGAAGUAUACUACAGAAGAACCUCAACAGAGUAACUAUUGUCAGCCAGCAGAAUACAAAAUAAGUAUUGACAAGAACAACAUAUAUAACAUUUUGGAUCAUGAGUAAGUUAAUACAUCCGUUCCCUAACUUUAUGUAAGAAUCAUAUCUGGCAUUGUAUGGCUCGUAUGUCAAUAGUAGUUUGUGUUCUUUACUUGGUAUACAUAUCAAUGCAUAUUUGAAAUUUGAAUGCUAUUAAGCAAAGAACAUUGCAGAAACAAAAAUCUUACCAAGGAACCAGGGAAGACAAACACUGAAAAGUCCGAGAAAAUAAAAUAGUUUUUGGAUAUCAACCUUUUCUUAUCUUUCUCUCCAGCAAACUUUUUGAGAAGCACUGGAAUGAUGUAGAUAGGGACUUUGAUUCCAAAGUACUGUAGUAAACAUAUGUGGUAUAUUCUAAGGUUGCACCAGAGGUAUUCAAAGUAGAUCUUCCAAUAUCACACUCUGUUCUUUUAAUAAAAAAAUGUGUCAUUUGGUCUCUUUACAUCAAAAAAAGUCUGGUUUGGAUUCAGGAUGAACUGCGUUUCUGCUUGCAUGAUACAGAUACUCUAUUUUUGAUAUAUAGACACGGUAAUUUUUCAAUCACAUCUGAAGGAAAGUCUACAGCAAAAACAGAGACAAGUCGGAGAUGGUUUCAGAUAAAUACACUGUUGAUUCACUCGGAGUAACUAAAUGGAACAGUAAAAGAAGGGAAAAACAUCGACACAACCAAUCCCAUUGAGCAACAGGCGCCCUGUUUAAAUAUCCUCUCUCUCAAGUCAAGCAGCGAGCACACCAAGCAACGACAAGGACUCCAUGAAGCUGGAGUAGAAGCCACUGCUAGCUAGUAUUCACAGGCUAAUUGUUUUAUCUAAGUGAUAAAAGCUUACUACUUAUAAGCAAGCCAACAAAUGCUGCCGUCUUGGCUUUCUAGCUCCACGCCUCCGCUCGUGACCUGGCGGCUACCAAAAGCAGACAGAAGUAGUGUUUGCGGCCGACAGCGCUUUUCGGGCGAUGCGGCCGUAGCGGAACAGGUGGACGCCUGCCGUGUGAAGGAGCGUCAUAGGAGAGCAGGCGCGGCCCAGUCGAAGCAUAGGCGGAUGCGCGCCCGGAGGCAUCGGGGCCCCUUGGCGGCGCGUGCGUGGCGAGUGUUCGGCAUCACGGGAGAAGUGGUAGCUCCGAAGGAACACCUGCCGCCACUCCAACUGCCGCUCCCACUACGCAUGUACUCCAUGUACGGCCACGCCGUCGUCGCCAUAGUCUUCAACACCGGGGGAUGGACUGGCGGAUCCGGCGGUUUUGGUGGCUGGCACGUCUCCGUUGGGGAAAGCUCAUCCCCGCACAUCGCCUUCUUCUCUUGCUGACCGCCACCGGAACAACCCACUGCCCCUCAGCCGCCUCCUCUCUUUUUUCCCUCCUCUCUAUUCUCUCUCGAUUCUCUCCUCUGACUUUCGCCUCUCCCUGCAGAAUUACUCGCUCCAAGCCAUCCUCGCCCGCGCUGGAUCCUGCUCCAGCGACCGAGCCACGAUCUGAUAGGGAGAGCCGAAUUUAUUUUUAUUAGGGGUAGGGGUAGGGGUAGGCUCACCGACGGGGUGGCGGCGGCGCGCGGUGGCUCGGCGCGGCGGGGCGCGGCGGCGGCCGGCGGCGCGCAGUGAGGCGUGGUGGAGGUCGGGAGGAGGUGACGAUGGGCGAGAUGGGAUCGGCGGAUCGGCAGGCAGGCUCGUGCGAGUGUUUUUUCCCUUUUCCCCACGUACCGAUUCAGGUUGACUUACUAUGAGGAUUGCGGGUUGAAUACCCAAAACUACAGGGGCUUUUUUGCAAAACUGACGACGACGUACCACCAGAAGCAAUAACUGGUUUAUUAGUAGGUAAAGAUAAAGAUUUUGGACUGGAAAAAAAUGUUCACUAUUCUCUAUACUAGUAUAUAUACUUCGGCAAAUGUUGUGGUAUUAUUUAUGAAAUGAUUUGGUUAAUUUGUU